AGAGUUAUUUUUAAGAUUAGGUUUUGAUAUAAGGAUUCUAGGUAUUAAGUAGUCCUUUAUGUUUAGGGUUAUGAUUAUGUAUAUUUAUUUUAAUUAAUAAUUUAAUUUAAUAAAUUGGAAAGAGAAAUAAUUAUUCAAGUUUAAGCACAAAAAACUUGGUCAUGCAUUAAUUUGUACCAUCAAAUCAGAUGGUUUAAUAAGGAUGCCCAUUAGUCCCUUUUAAUUGGAUUGAAAUAGAAUUAAGUGUCCCAAUCAUAAUAAAAUUGCUUAUUU
rnacentral:misc_RNA from 1 species